AGUUUGAUUAUGGCUCAAAGAUUCGACGCUGGCGGGAUGCGCACACAUGCAAGUCGAACGGCAGCACGGACUUCGGUCUGGUGGCGAGUGGCGAACGGGUGAGUAACGUCACGUGAACGUGCCUUAGUAGCGGGGAUAAACUACGCGAAAGCGUAGCUAAUACCGCAUCGCCCUUCCAGGGAAAAGCGGGGGACGGGCCUCGCACUAUUAGAGCGGCCGAUAUCGGAUUAGCUAGUUGGUGGGGUAACGGCUCGCAAGGCGACGAUCCGUAGCUGGUUUGGUUUGAGCAGCCACACUGGGACUGAGACACGGCCCAGACUCCUACGGAGGGCAGCAGUGGGGAAUUUUGGACAAUGGGAAACCUGAUCCAGCCAUCCGUGUGCGAUGAAGGCCUUCUGAAGUUCAGAAAGCGCUUUGGCAGGAAAGAAACGGCACGGGAUAACACCCCGUGCAACUGACCGGUACCUGCAGAAUAAGCACCGGCUAACUACGUGCCAGCAGCCGCGGUGUGGUUGCAAGCGUUAAUCAAAGAUUGCACAGAUAAAGCGUGCCGCAGGCGGUUCGGAAAGAAAGAUGUGAAAUCACAGAGCUUAACUGGAACUUCAUUUUUAACUACCGAGCUAGAGUGUGUCAGGGAGUGGAAUUCCGCGUGUAGCAGUGAAAUGCGUAGAUAUGCGGAGGAACACCGAUGGCGACAAUAUACAGGAUAGCUGCUGUAUAUUACAGAAAGCAUUGGGAGCAAACGGGAUUAGAUGCCCUGUUAGUCCACGCCUAAACAGAUACUCAACUAGCUGUUGGGGCCUUCGGGCCUUGGUAGCGCAGCUAACAGCGAAGUUGACCGCCUGGGAAUUACGGUCGCAAGAUUAAAACUCAAAGGAAUUGACGGGGACCCGCACAAGCGGUGGAUGUGGAUUAAUUCGAUGCAGCGCGAAAGGCCUUUACCUACCCUUGACAUGUCUGGAAUCCCGGAAGGGUACGGUGCUCAACGAAGAGAACCGGAACACAGGUGCUGCAUGGCUGUCGUCAGCUCGUGUCGUGAAUGUUGGGUUAAGUCCCGCAAUAGGCGCAACCCUUGUCAUUAGUUGCUACGAAAGGGCACUCAAUGAGACUGCGGUGACAAACCGGAGGCAGGAUGACGUCAGUCCUCAUAGCCCUUAUGGGGUAGGGCUUCGCGUCAUACAAUGGUCGGGACAGAGGGUGCUUCAACCCGCGAGGGGGAGCCAAUCCCAGAAACCCGAUCGUAGUGGAUCGCAGUCUGCAACUCGACUGCGUGAAGUCAGAUCACUGCGCUAAGUAGUCUCGCGAGGAUCAGCAUGUCGCGCGGUGAAUACGUUCCAGGUCUUGUACACACCGCCGUCACACCAUGGGAGUGGGUUUUACCAGUGAAUUAGCCUAACCGUAAGGAGGGCGAUUACCCACGGGCGGAUUCAUGACUGGGGUGAAGUCGUAACAAGGUAG
rnacentral:rRNA from 1 species